rnacentral:rRNA from 1 species
UACGUAGGGUGCAAGCGUUAUCCGGAAUUACUGGGCGUAAAGCGUGCGCAGGCGGUUUUGUAAGACAGAUGUGAAAUCCCCGGGCUUAACCUGGGAACUGCGUUUGUGACUGCAAGACUCGAGUGCGGCAGAGGGGGGUGGAAUUCCACGUGUAGCAGUGAAAUGCGUAGAGAUGUGGAGGAACACCGAUGGCGAAGGCAGCCCCCUGGGUCGACACUGACGCUCAUGCACGAAAGCGUGGGGAGCAAACAGG